UACGUAGGGGGCAAGCGUUGUCCGGAUUUAUUGGGCGUAAAGAGCGUGUAGGCGGUUUGGUAGGUCCGUUGUGAAAACUCGAGGCUCAACCUCGAGACGCCGGCGGAAACCAUCAGGCUAGAGUCCGGAAGAGGAGAGUGGAAUUCCUGGUGUAGCGGUGAAAUGCGUAGAUAUCAGGAGGAAUACCGGUGGUGUAGACGGCUCUCUGGACCGCCACUGACGCUGAGACACGAAAGCGUGGGUAGCAAACAGG
rnacentral:rRNA from 1 species